GACGAACGCUGGCGGCGUGCUUAACACAUGCAAGUCGAACGAAGAGCGAUGGAAGCUUGCUUCUAUCAAUCUUAGUGGCGAACGGGUGAGUAACGCGUAAUCAACCUGCCCUUCAGAGGGGGACAACAGUUGGAAACGACUGCUAAUACCGCAUACGAUCUAAUCUCGGCAUCGAGGAUAGAUGAAAGGUGGCCUCUACAUGUAAGCUAUCACUGAAGGAGGGGAUUGCGUCUGAUUAGCUAGUUGGAGGGGUAACGGCCCACCAAGGCGAUGAUCAGUAGCCGGUCUGAGAGGAUGAACGGCCACAUUGGGACUGAGACACGGCCCAGACUCCUACGGGAGGCAGCAGUGGGGAAUCUUCCGCAAUGGACGAAGGUCUGACGGAGCAACGCCGCGUGAGUGAUGACGGCCUUCGGGUUGUAAAGCUCUGUUAAUCGGGACGAAAGGCCUUCUUGCGAAUAGUGAGAAGGAUUGACGGUACCGGAAUAGAAAGCCACGGCCAACUACGUG
rnacentral:rRNA from 1 species